AAACUGUUUACAUAGCAGCCUUUUGUUACAGGUUUUAAAUCUUCUCAGGCUGCCAGUUUGAGGCUGAGGCUGCCAGCUGGCAGACAGAGAGGUGCUUGUGCUCCAACUGUUGGAGGUAAUUAACAGCCCGAACUGUCAGAAGGUGACAGCCGGCAGAAAGUUCCUGCCCUGGGGUCACAGCUGGAUUCCGGCAACUUGCUCCUUGAUUUACCAGUAAAACUAAUAAUUCCACGACAGAAAAUGUACAUACAUGGACAGUCAAAUGUUGAGAUGCAAACAAUAUUAGCAUUUGUAUGCCUUUGUCUUUUGAAAUCAGGAGGGGUGUAUUCCUGCCUGCAGACUUUGGGAAAUCACCACAGGGAGUCAGACUACUGAAGCACAGUCAAGCAAUAAAUCUACCAGUGGAAAUACUAAGUCACGGCUUGAAUCAGCUAUUGAGCACCUGGUGGGAAGGCAAGGCCAACCCAAGGGAGCUCAGGUGCAUGCAGUGUACCUGGGUGACCAGAAGGGGUAGGGUCAGGAUCCACCCCUUCCCAGACCUCAUUUAAGGCCUGGCAGUAAAGGUUUCUGCACACCUGAGGACCUCUGAAGGUAAGCAGCUUCUUUCCUUUAUUUCUGUGUCCACUGUUGUUGUGUUUGAGCAAAUCUUUACUUGCUGCAGCCUGGGAUCUUGCUGCUCUGCUGUUGUUGUAUUUUUUAUUGCACUGCAGAAAGUUUUUUUGUGUGUGUGUGUAUUUCUAUGUUUUUUGGUUUUUGUUUUUUUUUUUAUAUAUGAAAAUAUUGCAAGAUAAUUGCAUGGAAUCAUUCAUAUAUUGUGUUAGAUACAAUAACAUCUGGAUUCUUAAGUUAUUAUCCUGGGUGCAUGUUUUUCCUUUAGCAUGCUGAUAAUAUAUUGAGGUUUGGACUAAUUGCAAUAGCCUAGCCGUGCUGGAUUUUUCACAAAUAUACAUAGAGCGUAAUCAACAUUUACCAGAAGACAAUGACUCACUAAAGGGAAGAAUCAUCUAGGGAUACAGAAUGUUCAGACAGUGCAGAUUAUCCAGGCUAUUUUAUUUCAAUGCCAGCAUACUCAAAAUUGAUUUAUGUUUUAUUUGGUCAGUCUCAAUUUGUUCUCAUUAUAACUCACUAGCAGUGGACUAACUCUAGUAAAUAAUGAAAAAAGUAUGCAACAACAAGUUGUUAUUAAAAAUAAAUUAAUAAUAAUAAUAAGGCAAAGAUCUCAAGCCCAAUCAUAUGAUAGCUUUGGUGUUGUUUUUAUGGCAACUCAAAUGUAAGUUUAGAUGGGUUUCAUUCCAUUUCACAAAGAGCUCUCUGCCUUUCACGUGAGUCAACACUUUCCAGUGUGACUGUGUCUUUGGUAUGUAUAACUUGGCCAAAUUUCUACCUGUCUGACUUAGUGAGUCCGUCCCUUCCAUGAAGACCUGUAACCCCUGUUCAAGACUCUCCUGUGCUGUUGACACUCCCCCUGCUGACAGCAUUCAAUCAGAAAAAUGAAUUGGAAGGGCUUGAAGGCACUGUGGUGAGAAAAAAACACUUUGAGGAAGUUCAUAUGAGAAGGAAUAGAAACAGCAGAGGUGAUCACAAGUAGAAAGAGAUGAUUGACAUCAGGGAAGUUGGUGGCUAAAAGGUCCCCAGUCACUAAUCAACGUAACCUAGGAUUUGGGACUGGAACCUGACCUAAGCAAGAGAGAAAAGAAUGCAAAAUUUGAUUUGCCAUGAUUUCGAAGCUUAUCUCAGUUGCUUUUGCACUUUAAGCAUUUAUUUGGAAAGAACUUAAAGGAGAACAAAAAUUUCCUUGCAGCAGAGUAGCUCCUACAAGGUACAGAAGACCAGGAUUACAUCCCUGAACUAUAUCAAGUAGAUAAGGAACAGAAGCUGAAGGUUCUGCUAACUGGCCAAAGCAACAAACAGUCACAGAACUAGUAAAUCAAACUGGUGUUGUCAUAGUGGAAUUGUCAACAGAGGGUGGAACACAAUGCUUAUACCAAUUAAGUGGUGUUACUCUGGAGAACUGGGUUUUAUUCCCAUCUUUGACAUGAUAAACUGCAGGCAAGUAAGCACCCCAAGUUUUUCAGAUAACUUUCCUUCUUUUACUUGAUAGGCAAAUCAGAGUUGGGGUUUCUCACCUAACUUUAGACAUUUGCACUCUACAUAUUUAUUUUGGUUGGAUAAAUAGCACCUGUUCCUAUCCAUUGUCAAUAAAAUAAAUGUAAAUGCUUCUGCCUUGGAGGCAGACAUUUACUUGUCUGAUUUCUAUAGUAAAAGCUGAACUUCAGAGAUAAACACCCUCCAACACAACUGAAGCCAAUACCUCUCUCUUGUUCAGGCACAGGACUCUCUAGCAAUGCUCCACUGUCACAGUGAUCCAGAAAGCAUUUGUAACAGCUAGAAAAGUCCGAGUACACCAAAGCAUUCAAGCACAUUUUACAUCUGUAAGCCUGAAUCAUAGAAUUUUAUAUAACUGAUUCUAUAGAUAAGUUGACUGUUAUUUGGCUAUUUUCUAAUCAGUCAUAUAUGAGGAUAAACAGAAUUGCUGUUAACUGUAACAUUAGUAUCUUAUACUUUAUAUGUUGUGCACUGAUACAUCCUUAUCACUGGCACAUCUGUAUAUGUGAAGUAGAGGUACACCAACUGCCUGUGAGAGAUCCUGAGCAACUUGGUGAAGUCUUGCCUAUGUUUCAUAUACAUCCCUUUUUGUUGUUAUUUACUC
ensembl:lncRNA